AUGAUAUAUUGGCUUCUUUUUGUUUUCCUGUUGGCAGCCUGUAGAGGUGUCCUAUCAGAGGUCCAACUGGUAGAGUCUGGAGGGGAUAUCAAAAGACCUGGAGAUUCUCUCCGCCUCUCCUGUCGAGCUUCUGGGUUCACCUUUAGCAGCUAUGAAAUGAUGUGGGUGAGACAAGCUCAUGGGAAAGGACUGGAAUGGAUUGCACGCAUCUAUGAAAGUGGGAGCACACAAUACUAUGCCGACUCGGUGAAGGGGCGCUUCACAGUCUCCAGAAACAACCCUUCCAACAUGCUGUAUCUGCAAAUGAACAGCCUGAAACCCGAAGACACGGCUGUGUACUACUGUGCGAGACGCACAGUGUGA